rnacentral:rRNA from 1 species
UACGAAGGGGGCUAGCGUUGUUCGGAAUUACUGGGCGUAAAGCGUGCGCAGGCGGCUUUCCAAGUCAGUGGUGAAAGCCCGGAGCUCAACUCCGGAAAUGCCAUUGAAACUGUGAAGCUUGAGAACGAGAGAGGUGAGUGGAAUUCCCAGUGUAGAGGUGAAAUUCGUAGAUAUUGGGAAGAACACCAGUGGCGAAGGCGGCUCACUGGCCCGGUACUGACGCUGAGGUGCGAAAGCGUGGGGAGCAAACAGG